rnacentral:rRNA from 1 species
AUGACCAUCCUUAAGUGGUUUAAAGAAGUGAAGUUUUCUGAUGGGUUUGCUGCUAAUUUGAGUAAAACUGUCAACUUGAGUAAAAACAAAUUCAUUGGGCUGAAAAGCCAUGACCACCACAUCAUCAUGGAGCGCCUCCUGCCAGUUGCCCUACGAGGCUUCAUCCCAGAACCUGAAUGGAAGGUCAUAGCAGAGUUAAGUUUUUUUUAUCGGCAAUUGUGUGCCAAAGAAAUUGCUCCAAAACGGAUGCGUGAACUUGAGGAGGAGGUUCAUGUUCUAUUAUGCAAGCUUGAGAAAAUGUUCCCACCAGGCUUCUUCAAUGUAAUGCAACACCUGAUAGUGCAUCUUCCAUAUGAGGCAAGGGUUGGCGGCCCUGUGGCAUAUCGUUGGAUGUAUGUUUUUGAGAGGGCAAUGCACUAUCUUCGUUUAAAAGUGCGAAACAAGGCAAGAGUGGAGGGUUCAAUCGUUGAAGCUUGUAUUGUGCAGGAGAUCACGAAUUGUGUUUCUCUUUACUUUAGUGAUCAUGUUCGCACAAUAUGGAAGAAGAAUCCUCGAUAUAAUAAUGGAGGAACACGCGUGCAGAAUGAUGGUUGCACCUUAGAUGUAUUUCAGCAUGUUGGAAACCUACAUGGGAGGCCUAUUGCCCGAGAACUAUCGCGUGAAGAGUUGAAUGCAGCAAGGCUGUACAUUUUGACUAACUGCUCUGCUGUUGAUAGAUUUCGUGAAACAUAUGAAGAUGAAAAAUAUGCAAGUCAUCCAAACUUGCCAUCGGAGGGCCUUGAUGAAAUGAUGGCAUCCGAAUUUGUGGAAUGGUUCGAGAUUGCUUGCAAAGAAGAUCCCAAUUCUGAUGAGGACUUGUGGAAUUUAGCUAAUGGAUGCAGCUCUAGAGCCUAUUCCUAUAGCUCCUAUGAUGUGAAUGGCUUUCGCUUUAGAUCAGAGAUAUCUGAGAAAAAAACGUAG